GCCCACAUGAAGUCGGAGUUGCUAGUAAUCCCGAAUCAGCAUGUCGGGGUGAAUGCGUUCCCGGGUCUUGUACACACCGCCCGUCACACCACGGAAGUUGGGGGCGCCCGAAGCCACUUAGCUAACCCUUUUGGGAAGCGAGUGUCGAAGGUGAAAUCAAUAACUGGGGUGAAGUCGUAACAAGGUACC
rnacentral:rRNA from 1 species